UUUUCUCAGAUGGGCUUGUGUAACACUCCUUCGGUUUUGAUGAUGUUUUCGACACCAUUCUACUAAUAAUAUUAUUUUAUACAAUUGCUUGCAGGUUCCAAAUUGAAUUCAUUUAAGUAAUCAAAUUUGAACUUUGAUGUGAUGAUUACUCUUAUCAAACUACUUGUGUUAAUUCAAUUUCUUCAUUAAUGUUUUUUCCACUACCACUUACACUUAGAUCAUGAAUAAGUGAAAUCAACAUUUUUAAUUCUUUCUGCUAUAUCACAUGGGUUGGAGAGUAUACAUAGGACUUCCAUACAUCCUAAUAUUCCAUGUGACAUUAGAGUUCAACUGCGGAUGCUAAUACUUCCUGUUCUGUGCCUGCUUGCCAAUCGGUGAGCAAACUUUAUGUGCCUGCCCUUGAGUUCCCUUUUAUUUACACAGAGGAAAACAAAGGGUAUCUAGGAGCUAAUGAUGAGAAUAAUUCCUCAACUUUCUUGCUGUUGUGAUGGAGUGAGGUUUUUCCCCCUCUUUUCUUGCUUUCGCUGUGCUGUAGAUUUUGCUUGUUGUGUGCCUAGCCCCCCCCCCCCCC
rnacentral:lncRNA from 1 species